rnacentral:rRNA from 1 species
ACCAGGUCAGGACACGGUAAGGAUUGACGGACUGAAGGCUCUUUCUCGAUUCCGUGGAAAGUGGUGCAUCGGCCGUUUUGGUUGGUGGAUCGAUCCGUCUGGUUAAUUCCGUUAACGAACGAGACCUCGGCACUCCGAAUAGCGCGGCGGACGUCGCGGCCUCCGGGCCGUCUUCCGCACGAGCUUCUUAGAGGGACCGUCCCCCGCCGGGGAAGGAGGUGCGAGGCAACGACAGGUCUGUGAUGCCCUUAGAUGUUCUGGGCCGCACGCGCAUUACACUGACGCGUCCAACGGGUGACUCCCGACCCGAAGGGGCCGGGGAAUCCGCAAGGCGCGUCGUGAUGGGGAUUGAACGUUGCAAUUGUUGUUCACGAACGAGGAAUUCCUAGUAGGCGCGGGUCAUCAACCCGCGCCGAUUACGUCCCUGCCCUUUGUACACAC